rnacentral:rRNA from 1 species
GUUUGAUCCUGGCUCAGAACGAACGUUAGCGGCGCGCCUAACACAUGCAAGUCGAGCGAGAAAGGGCUUCGGCCCCGGUAAAGCGGCGCACGGGUGAGUAACACGUAGGCAAUCUGCCUCGAGGUGGUGGAUAACCCUCCGAAAGGAGGGCUAAUACAGCAUGAGACCACGUCGUCGAAAGACGAUGCGGCCAAAGCCGGCCUCUUCAUGAAAGCUGGCGCCACGAGAUGAGCCUGCGGCCCAUCAGCUAGUUGGUAGGGUAACGGCCUACCAAGGCAAAGACGGGUAGCUGGUCUGAGAGGAUGAUCAGCCACACUGGAACUGAGACACGGUCCAGACUCCUACGGGAGGCAGCAGUGGGGAAUCUUGCGCAAUGGGCGAAAGCCUGACGCAGCGACGCCGCGUGAGCGAUGAAGGCCUCGGUU